UUUUAUUGUAACUUUCGUGAGACAUACUAAAUUAAUUAUUAUGUUAUCGGCUUACUCACGUACUGUUUUGACGAGGAACUCGACUAUCGUCAUCCCAACUUCAACAGAGACGGUGGCUGGGCAUUACCACCUGCCUGGAAGCCGAGUCUACAAUCUGCGUCAACCUACAAUGUUGCGGGUCUGGAGUGUGACACAGUGAGCGCGGUAUGUAGCACCGUUUUUGCGCCGACCCGAGAAUCGAAUCUAACACCUGCGCAGCCGCCGGCGAACGAGUCUAACGAGCCAACAUCGUCGCGCGCGCCAGAUAGUGCGCGCGA